rnacentral:rRNA from 1 species
AGUCGAGCGGUAGAGAGAAGCUUGCUUCUCUUGAGAGCGGCGGACGGGGAGUAAUGCCUAGGAAUCUGCCUGGUAGUGGGGGAUAACGUUCGGAAACGGACGCUAAUACCGCAUACGUCCUACGGGAGAAAGCAGGGGACCUUCGGGCCUUGCGCUAUCAGAUGAGCCUAGGUCGGAUUAGCUAGUUGGUGAGGUAAUGGCUCACCAAGGCGACGAUCCGUAACUGGUCUGAGAGGAUGAUCAGUCACACUGGAACUGAGACACGGUCCAGACUCCUACGGGAGGCAGCAGUGGGGAAUAUUGGACAAUGGGCGAAAGCCUGAUCCAGCCAUGCCGCGUGUGUGAAGAAGGUCUUCGGAUUGUAAAGCACUUUAAGUUGGGAGGAAGGGUUGUAGAUUAAUACUCUGCAAUUUUGACGUUACCGACAGAAUAAGCACCGGCUAACUCUGUGCCAGCAGCCGCGGUAAUACAGAGGGUGCAAGCGUUAAUCGGAAUUACUGGGCGUAAAGCGCGCGUAGGUGGUUUGUUAAGUUGGAUGUGAA